rnacentral:rRNA from 1 species
UAACAAGGAUUCCCCUAGUAACUGCGAGUGAAGCGGGAAAAGCUCAAAUUUAAAAUCUGGCGGUCUUCGGCCGUCCGAGUUGUAGUCUGGAGAAGUGCUUUCCGCGCUGGACCGUGUACAAGUCUCUUGGAACAGAGCGUCAUAGAGGGUGAGAAUCCCGUCUUUGACACGGACUACCAGUGCUUUGUGAUGCGCUCUCAAAGAGUCGAGUUGUUUGGGAAUGCAGCUCAAAAUGGGUGGUAAAUUCCAUCUAAAGCUAAAUAUUGGCGAGAGACCGAUAGCGAACAAGUACCGUGAGGGAAAGAUGAAAAGCACUUUGGAAAGAGAGUUAAACAGUACGUGAAAUUGCUGAAAGGGAAACGAUUGAAGUCAGUCGCGUUAGCCAGGACUCAGCCUUGUUUUUACUUGGUGCAUUUUCUGGUUGACGGGCCAGCAUCGAUUUUGACCGCCGGAAAAAGAUUGGGGGAAUGUGGCACCUUCGGGUGUGUUAUAGCCCUCAGUCACAUACGGCGAUUGGGAUCGAGGACCGCAGCACGCCUUUAUGGCCGGGGUUCGCCCACGUUCGUGCUUAGGAUGCUGGCGU